GGGAAGCGUCCAAGGCGUAUGGUGUUUCACUGAGAUUGAAAACCCUUAAAGAGAAAAGAAAAGGAGAUGAGACCCUGGAAAAUCGCAACGUGAAAACAAAGUGGCUGGACGGCAAGAAAUACAGCGACCUGAUAGUGCUGGGGUUUCCUUGGAAGAACACAGACGAUGACGUGAAGUCUUACUCCUCACAGUUUGGUGAAGUCAGCAUGGCAUAGAAUUCGAUUAUGCCAUGUCCUGAUAGGGCUCCCACUUUUCGUAAGAAGAUUCCAGUCUGUUUAUGAGGUGGCUGCAUGCGGGAACACCAGAAGCAUGUGGUGUUUCGCUGAAAUGGAAACCUUCAAAGCCG